GAUGUAUAACCGGAUCAGCGAUUUAAGAAAGGAGAUUCAGUCACUCGAGAAGAAUGUUGCCUUAGCUGAAGAAGGUGUCCGAAGAACUAAUAGUGAGUAUGAGGCUGCUGAAGCAAAGCUUGAAGCGAUGGACGGCGAACUAGUACAAGCCGAAGGACCGGGUAGAAUGAAGCGUCUCAAAGCAUAUGCUGGUAGGGCUAAAGGCGACGCAAUAUCUGUACUUGAAUCUCUGGAAGCCAAGGAGGUGCUCCUUGCUCGUGCUCUUGAGGAAAAUAAGGCCUUGUUCAUAUCAUUGUACAAGAACUUUGGCAAUGUUCUUAUGAAACGCCUACCAACUGUGUCUUCUGAUGGUAAAUUGCGGAACUUACGACCCAGCCGUGUGGACAGCAUGGCUAUCGACCUUGAAGAACCUCCUACAAUGGUGGUUGACGAGCAAACCGUUAACAG
rnacentral:misc_RNA from 1 species